rnacentral:rRNA from 1 species
GACGAACGCUGGCGGCGUGCUUAACACAUGCAAGUCGAGCGGAAAGGCCCUUCGGGGUACUCGAGCGGCGAACGGGUGAGUAGCACGUGAGUAAUCUGCCCUUGGCUUUGGGAUAACUACCGGAAACGGUGGCUAAUACCGGAUACGACAACCGUCUGCAUGGGCUGGUUGUGGAAAGUUUUUUCGGCCAGGGAUGUGCUCGCGGCCUAUCAGCUUGUUGGUGGGGUAAUGGCCUACCAAGGCUUCGACGGGUAGCCGGCCUGAGAGGGUGACCGGCCACACUGGGACUGAGACACGGCCCAGACUCCUACGGGAGGCAGCAGUGGGGAAUAUUGGACAAUGGGCGGAAGCCUGAUCCAGCAACGCCGCGUGAGGGAUGACGGCCUUCGGGUUGUAAACCUCUUUCAGUACCGACGAAGCGCCGAUGAUGGUGGUGACGGUAGGUACAGAAGAAGCACCGGCCAACUACGUG